UUUUGUUUCCCACUUUUCCUUGUGACUUACAGAGGUCACAAUUUUUUUCUCUCUCCCACGGCUAUAACCAUGGACGCUAUCAAAUAAUUGAAACCCAUUCCAUUUUUCUCUCCUCAAUCUAUUUGUUAUAUCCUGUUCAGGCUCACCAAUACAACGCGAUCGUACGCUGCUUUUGAUACUUCGAUGCAUGAGCUUACAUUUCUUGCUUAUACUACACACUAAGCAGUGUCAUCAUCAAUCAGUUUUUCAGAAAAAAUUUCUCAAAUCUGCUCAGUGCUCACUCAUGCUGCCUUACAGUCACAUGACCCCCUCUUCGGUUCAUCCCUCUUCUCUCCUGAGCACUUUUGGAUUUUUUUUUCUCAAUCCUUUAUUCAUAGUCGGACUUUGCUGAUCCAAUAUCUUUUAGUUUAUCCUUCUUCCCUUUGUACUCUAAAUAAUUUUUUUGACUCUCCAUCCUUAACCAUGCGGUCAUGGUUCUUGCCGAUUUUCUUCUUCCAUUUCUAUCUAUUUUUCUUGAUCAAAUCAUGCACACAAUUCCUCAAUGAAGAUGGUCCAAAUAGAGAAAAUGGUCCUCCUUUCUUCCUUGAACCCAUCUCUAUUGGGGGUGAGCGUCAAUGAGGAACGCGGUGAAAACAAAAAUAAAGAGCCUAUGGUUUUUCAAAUCAGAAUAUGGUCCAAGCAUUGAAUUUCGCUGCCACACAGCAAGCUUCGCUCACUCUUGAACUCCAUUAUUUUCUUGGUUUUAUUUAGGAAUUGUAUUUUUCUGCCUUGCAUGUGGGAUUUGCAGCAUUGGUUUUGUUGCUGAGUUCCUCCUUAUCUCGACGCUGGGCUUUGGAUUCGUGUUUUCUUUGUCGUUCCUUAGGAGUAGGUAUAUUCUGUGCAUUUCUUCUAAUUUGUCUUUGGUUAUCCUUGAGUUAUUUGGACAGAUUAUGUCACUUUCUUAUUCUGGAUAAUUGUCAUCUCCUUUUGCUUUUUAUUUCCCGCUUCCUGAGAUUGUUCAUGUUGUUAAAUAAGAUUACGUUUCAAGAUGAGGUUCGUCUUCUUUACCUUCGUCACCUAUUUAGUUCUUCUCCAUGAUGUCACUUUCACCUAGCUUAGGAUCUCCAUACCCUUGGCUUAGAGAGGUUAAAUCCGAGGAGAGGGGCUUGUACUUAAUCCAUUUGUUGCACAGUUGUACAAAUCAUGUAGCUUUUUCAAUAGUAUGAACUCUCUCUUGGUUUCACUGUACAAUUUUUCUUCCUCGUCGAAGACCAGGUGAUGCUGGAAUUGUAAUGGAGUUCGGGUAUGAAAUUGUCAUGGUGAAACCGUUGGUUUUUCUUCUUAUGAACAUCAUAAAAGUUCUAAUUUUUCUACUUUUUGGCUGUGGCAAAGGUUUUUUGUGGGUCAACAAUUAGCUGCGGAGUUACCAUAGAAACUACAAUCUAUAGGAUACGAUCUGUUGCUUUCCGUUAGAAGUGCUAUGGCAACUCUGCACCUCACGGCUAUAGUUAGUCUCUUGACAACAUUAACUGUAUGCUAUUUUCUCCAUAUGUUGUAUUCUUAAGUCUUGUCUUACUGUUUGUCAUCUUAAUAUGGUCUUUUGUACGGGUUUUGUCGAAAGAAAAGCAACAUGUCCUUGCAGCCACGCCAACUGACCCAACUGCAUUAUAUGGUGAGACGCUUCCAAAGUUAUCAUACUCCAGCCAAAUCAUUGUGAUUGUGAUGCUUGAGUAUGUUGUGAUUUUUCUCAUAUUGAGUUAAAUCAAAUGAAAUUUCCUUUGGUAAACUAAAACAUGGCAACUUUGAAUGCUGAGUCCUGAAUUGUUUAAUUAUUUUUGCAUAACCGUGUUAAACAAAAAAUGAUGGUUUCCUCAUAAAUUAGUAGGCAGGCUUCAGUUGGGCUUUGUGUUGUUUUUGACUUCAGUUUUCAAGUUUUGCAAACAUUCUUGUCCUUGUCUAUUGACUUUAUUUUGCUGUCCAUUACAUUUUACUUUUCUCUCUCACCAUUUAUUUACUUUUACUAUUCUUUUUCUUUUCAUCCGUGUGUGGGAUCAAGUGGACAAUUUUAUGAAAAAAAAAGCUCUUGAUUCAAAUGUAUAUGCACGUGACCAUGCUAAUAACUGUAACUUGAGGCUAAUGACUAAUAUUGAUAAUUAUAACAUAGUAGUAAACAUAAUCUGAUGCUGCAACUGCUGAACUUUUAUCACUUUCUUCUAAUUUUGCCUUGAAUCAUUGCUGUUGGACUGAGCCAUUGAUGACUAUUGACAAAAGCCAGGGAUAAGCAUUGCAACAUAAAAUUAUCAGUUUCAAAUCCAAAAGUCUUGCGCUGUACUUGUGGUGAAUUUCCUAGGAAUAUGUAGUUCUAAGGAGCUAAAUUCGUUUAGGAUGUACUUUCCUGCAAUACCUCGAGCACACAAGUCUAGUAUUUGUCAGCCUUUUUAGUAUAUUGGUAGUUUUAGUAUUAGCCUUCUUAUAUUUUUUUACUUCAUCUCCCUAACAUUGAGGUUUUGUUUCAGGCUUUCAGCUAUUGGUUUGAGGUGAUUUUUUUUGAAUACUUUGUAAUUGACUUUUUGGUUGUGGGUACUCUUGGUUUCAGGUUUGUCAUUGAUAAUAACGAGGAUAUCUAAAACUGAGUUGAUUAUAAGAUUUGUCUAUCAGUUUUUUAAGUUAAUGACAGAGUCAUUACCCAUGUGUAUUUUUUGAGGCAUGUACAAAUAGCUUACACAGUGCAUUACUUGCAAAAUUUGAAGUUGCUCACCCACACAUGCAUGUGCGGCUUUACAUGACAGUUUAGUUGAAAGCAUG